rnacentral:rRNA from 1 species
GAUGAACGCUAGCUACAGGCUUAACACAUGCAAGUCGAGGGGUAACAGGAGGAAAGCUUGCUUUUCUUGUUGACGACCGGCGCACGGGUGAGUAACGCGUAUCCAACCUGCCUAUAACUAGGGAAUAACCUUGCGAAAGUAAGACUAAUACCCUAUGAUUUCCUUUGAUGACAUCAGAUUAGGACUAAAGAUUUAUCGGUUAUAGAUGGGGAUGCGUCUGAUUAGCUUGUUGGCGGGGUAACGGCCCACCAAGGCAACGAUCAGUAGGGGUUCUGAGAGGAAGGUCCCCGACAUUGGAACUGAGACACGGUCCAAGCUCCUACGGGAGGCAGCAGGGAGGAAUAUUGGUCAAUGGGCGGAAGCCUGAACCAGCCAAGUAGCGCGCAGGAUGACGGCCCUAUGGGUUGUAAACUGCUUUUAUACAGGAAUAAAGUUAGCCACGUGUGGUUAUUUGUAGGUACUGUAUGAAUAAGGACCGGCUAAUUCCGUGCCAGCCGCCGCAGUAA